ACGGAAGGCAGCAGUAGGGAAUCUUCGGCAAUGGGGGCAACCCUGACCGAGCAACGCCGCGUGAGUGAAGAAGGUUUUCGGAUCGUAAAGCUCUGUUGUAAGAGAAGAACGUGUGUGAGAGUGGAAAGUUCACAUAGUGACGGUAACUUACCAGAAAGGGACGGCUAACUACGUGCCAGCAGCCGCGGUAAUACGUAGGUCCCGAGCGUUGUCCGGAUUUAUUGGGCGUAAAGCGAGCGCAGGCGGUUUAAUAAGUCUGAAGAUAAAGGCAGUGGCUUAACCAUUGUUCGCUUUGGAAACUGUUAGACUUGAGUGCAGAAGGGGAGAGUGGAAUUCCAUGUGUAGCGGUGAAAUGCGUAGAUAUAUGGAGGAACACCGGUGGCGAAAGCGGCUCUCUGGUCUGUAACUGACGCUGAGGCUCAAAAGCGUGGGGAGCAAACAGGAUUAGAUACCCUGGUA
rnacentral:rRNA from 1 species